GGUCUGAUUAUGGCUCAGAUUGAAUGCCGGUGGGAGAAGCUUUACACAUAAGCCGAACGGCAGCAAUGACUUCGGUCAGUGGCGGCGGCAGAACGGGUGAGUAAUGUAUCGGAACGCCCAGUGUAGUGGCAUUGUUAAAGCGCAUUAAUGACGAUACGUCCUUUCAAAAAGGCGGUAUCUUCGGGGCUCUCAAUUAAUAGAGCGGCUGAUAUCGGAUUGAAGCCAGUUGGUGGGCAACGGCCUACUAAGGCGACGAUCCGUAGCCAUUGAGAGUGAUCUAAUCAAACACACUGGGACUGGAGACACGGCCCAGACUCCGCUGGGGAGGCAGUGGGGAAUUUUGGGACAAUGGGAAACCCUGAUCCAGCCAUCCUGGCAGCAAAAGUGAUGAAGGCUCGGGGUUGUGGUGUGGGCACUUUGGCAGGGAAAGAAACGGGCACGACACACCCUCGCACCGACGGUACCUGCAGAAUACCACAACUACGCCACAGCAGCUGCGGUAAUACGCAGGUAAGCGCGACCUGACUACUGGCUAAAGGUAAGCAGAUGGUCUGGAAUGUUAUAAACCCAGAGCCAACCUUUGGAACUGCAUUUUUGACCAUUGAGCGAGUGCAGCAGAGGAGUAAUUCGCGUAGAAAGUAAUGCGCAGAUAUGCGGAGAACACCGAUGGCGAAGGCAGCCUUCCUGGGAUAACACUGACGCUCAAGCGCACGAAAGCGUGGGGAGCAAACAGUGAUUGGGGAUACCCGGUAGUCCACGCUCCUGCAAACGAUGUCAACUUAGCUGCUGGGGCUUUCGCCCCGGUAGCAGCUAUUGGUGGAAGUUGACCGCCUGGGAGUAUGGUCGUAAGAUUAAAAACCUGAAAGAAUUGACGGGGACCGGCACGCCAGGGAUGAUGUGGAUUAAUUGAUGCACGCGAAAAACCUUACCUGACUUUUGACAUGUCUGGAAUCCCGAAGAGACGAGUGUUUCGCAAGAGAACCGGGAACACAGGUGCUGCAUGCAUUGUCGUCAGCUCGUGUCGUGAGAUGUUGGGUUAAGUCCCGCAACGAGCGCACCUUGUCAUUAGUUGCUACGAAAGGCAAUUCCUGAAUGAGAUCAUGCUGCGACAACCGGAUGAAGCUGGGGUGGGGAUGAUGUCAGUCCGCUGCCCUGCGGCAGGGCUUCACACGUCAUACAAUGGUCGACAGAGGUCGCAACUUAUGGUGAGGGGAGCUAACCCAGAACCGAUCAGUCUGGAUCGUAGUUCGCAACUGACUGCGUGAAGUCGGAAUCGCUAAAAUCGCGAUCGCGGCGCCGUGUGAUGUUCCUGGUCUUGUGAAAAAUAAUGUAACUGCCCGCCCACCAUGGGAGUGUGGCUUUACCAGAAGUGCAGUUAGCCUUAAUCUGGGCAAGGAGGGCGAUUACCACGGUAGGAUUCAUGACUGGGGUGAAACCAACAGCUUCAGCAUACCUGAUGUCUUCUGG
rnacentral:rRNA from 1 species